UACGUAGGUGACAAGCGUUAUCCGGAAUUACUGGGCGUAAAGCGCACGCAGGCGGCGCGGUAAGUCUGAUGUGAAAAUCUCCCGGCUUAACUGGGAGGGGUCAUUGGAAACUGCCGAGCUUGAGGCGAUGAGAGGGGUGUAGAAUUCCCGGUGUAGUGGUGGAAUGCGUAGAUAUCGGGAGGAAUACCAGUGGCGAAAAGCGG
rnacentral:rRNA from 1 species